rnacentral:rRNA from 1 species
UACCAGCUCCUCGAGUGGUCGGGGCGAUUAUUGGGCCUAAAGCAUCCGUAGCCGGUUCCGUAGGUCUUCUGUCAAAUCCAACGGCUCAACCGUUGGCCCGCAGAAGAUACCGCGGGACUAGGAGGCGGGAGAGGUGGGCGGUACUCCACGUGUAGGGGUAAAAUCCUUUGAUCCGUGGAAGACCACCAGUGGCGAAGGCGGCCCACCAGAACGCGCUCGACGGUGAGGGAUGAAAGCUGGGGGAG